GACGAACGCUGGCGGCGUGCUUAACACAUGCAAGUCGAACGGAAAGGCCCUGCUUUUGUGGGGUGCUCGAGUGGCGAACGGGUGAGUAACUCGUGAGUAACCUGCCCUUGACUUUGGGAUAACUUCAGGAAACUGGGGCUAAUACCGGAUAGGAGCUCCUGCUGCAUGGUGGGGGUUGGAAAGUUUCGGCGGUUGGGGAUGGACUCGCGGCUUAUCAGCUUGUUGGUGGGGUAGUGGCUUACCAAGGCUUUGACGGGUAGCCGGCCUGAGAGGGUGACCGGCCACAUUGGGACUGAGAUACGGCCCAGACUCCUACGGGAGGCAGCAGUGGGGAAUAUUGCACAAUGGGCGGAAGCCUGAUGCAGCAACGCCGCGUGCGGGAUGACGGCCUUCGGGUUGUAAACCGCUUUCGCCUGUGACGAAGCGUGAGUGACGGUAAUGGGUAAAGAAGCACCGGCUAACUACGUGCCAGCAGCCGCGGUGAUACGUAGGGUGCGAGCGUUGUCCGGAUUUAUUGGGCGUAAAGGGCUCGUAGGUGGUUGAUCGCGUCGGAAGUGUAAUCUUGGGGCUUAACCCUGAGCGUGCUUUCGAUACGGGUUGACUUGAGGAAGGUAGGGGAGAAUGGAAUUCCUGGUGGAGCGGUGGAAUGCGCAGAUAUCAGGAGGAACACCAGUGGCGAAGGCGGUUCUCUGGGCCUUUCCUGACGCUGAGGAGCGAAAGCGUGGGGAGCGAACAGGCUUAGAUACCCUGGUAGUCCACGCUGUAAACGGUGGGUACUAGGUGUGGGGUCCAUUCCACGGGUUCCGUGCCGUAGCUAACGCUUUAAGUACCCCGCCUGGGGAGUACGGCCGCAAGGCUAAAACUCAAAGGAAUUGACGGGGCCCCGCACAAGCGGCGGAGCAUGCGGAUUAAUUCGAUGCAACGCGUAGAACCUUACCUGGGUUUGACAUGGAUCGGGAGUGCUCAGAGAUGGGUGUGCCUCUUUUGGGGUCGGUUCACAGGUGGUGCAUGGCUGUCGUCAGCUCGUGUCGUGAGAUGUUGGGUUAAGUCCCGCAACGAGCGCAACCCUUGUUCACUGUUGCCAGCACGUUAUGGUGGGGACUCAGUGGAGACCGCCGGGGUCAACUCGGAGGAAGGUGGGGAUGACGUCAAGUCAUCAUGCCCCUUAUGUCCAGGGCUUCACGCAUGCUACAAUGGCUGGUACAGAGAGUGGCGAGCCUGUGAGGGUGAGCGAAUCUCGGAAAGCCGGUCUCAGUUCGGAUUGGGGUCUGCAACUCGACCUCAUGAAGUCGGAGUCGCUAGUAAUCGCAGAUCAGCAACGCUGCGGUGAAUACGUUCCCGGGGCU
rnacentral:rRNA from 1 species